GGAGAGGUGCCGGAGUGGUCGAACGGGGCGGUCUCGAAAACCGUUGUACCUCAGGGUACCCAGGGUUCGAAUCCCUGUCUCUCCGCCA
rnacentral:tRNA from 1 species